rnacentral:rRNA from 1 species
AUACGAAGGGGGCUAGCGUUGUUCGGAAUUACUGGGCGUAAAGCGCAUGUAGGCGGACAUUUAUGUCAGAUGUGAAAUUCCCGGGCUCAACCUGGGAAGUGCAUUUGAAACUGGGUAUCUAGAGUGCAGGAGAGGGAAGCGGAAUUCCUAGUGUAGAGGUGAAAUUCGUAGAUAUUCGGAGGAACACCAGUGGCGAAGGCGGCUUACUGGUCCAUUACUGACGCUGAGGUGCGAAAGCGUGGGGAGC